rnacentral:misc_RNA from 1 species
GAGCGGUAACAAUCAGUUCACUGUGCUGCUGCAGCAGAUACAGUUGAUGUUAAAGUUUUUGUAAGUAAGCUGAAUUUCACGAAUUCGUGAUAAACUAUUUGAAUUGUUUAUCAUAUUAAGGAAAUGCCUCAUUGUGUAGUUAUUGGCUGCAUAAAUGGUCCCAAGAAAAAAAUUGGGCUAGCUUCGCUGCAGAAUAACGUUGUCGAAAAGAAAAGUAAAGUCUCAUGUUUUGGCAAACCAAAGGAUCCAAGUGUCUUGAGCAUGUGGGAAUACAACAUUCCUAGAGAAAACGGAGCUGUUUUACCAAAGCGUUACUCUGUUUGUCAUGAACACUUUGAUGAAUCUCAGGUAAUCAAAGAUGAUGUUACAAUCAUCAACGGGGAGGAAUUUAAAUUGCCAAGAAUAAACUGGAGAUUAAAAGCGGGGGCUUUCCCAACAAUCUUCAAAGGAACCCCUGAAGAGUUGCUAUUGAAAAAGAAUGGAAGAAAACCUCCUACUGUUCGAUUACCUCUUGGAAAAAAACCCAACUAUAAAACACGCCAUUCAGUUGCAUUGAAGAAGGCACAUACUGUGAAAAAAAAAGUAUCAAGAGACAAUGAGGUUGAUCAAUCUAUGGACACAAAUCCUGCCGAUUCAUUGUUAAUGGAAAAACAGCCAGAAGAACAAAUUGUAGAAAUUGAUGAACUGGAACCACCAAACCAACAUUUUUCUGCUGAUGAUGCAUACCACAUUCAAUUACCUUCAAGUUAUUGGUAUGUCAGAAAAACUACUGCUGAUAGCUGUAACUUCUUCGAAGUUGUGGUUAAAGAUGUAACCGCAGUAAUUGAAAAGAAUGUCAACAUUGAUUUCAAAAAUCACAAAGUUUCUGUAACCUUUCAAUCCAGAAAAGUUCCUAAUUUUGAGGGAUCUUGUAUUCCAAGUACUUCAAAGGGUAUGGAAGCAUUAUUGCUUAGCAUACACGAAUCGAAAAUGUGUCCUGGCAUUAUGCACAACCCUACAAAGCAUCCACAUCAUAGUGAAGUAGUUCGUAAUGGAAAUCUGAUUUCUAACAUUUGGAGAAAUAACAGCUGUAGGAUUAUGAUGGCCACCAACGAAGAAUCAAAGAAAGCCUGUCCCGGUUGUAAACUACUGGACAUUUCUUUAAGGAAACAAUUCAAACGCCAAAAAACUGUGAAUACCUUACUGAAUCACCGCUACAUGAGUCUGAAACAACUGGCUAAGAAAGUCAGUCUUCAGAAAGGAAAAAUGAAUUGCAGUUUUAAAAAAGACUCGAAAAAAAAACAACAUUCAAAUCAAAGAACUAAAUUGAAGAAUAAGGAACUUUGCGUUGAAAUCGCAUCCAUUCAGAAAGAUAACCUUCAAUCUAUACAUUCUUGACGACCUUGAUGAUAAGGUGUCCAAUUAGUGAUGAAGCUUGGGUGAGAUUAAGUGGCUGAAAUGGUCUAUGUCAUCGGAAGGAGUCAACUGAGUUCGUUCGUUCAUUUACAUUAAGUUCCAUAACAUGUAAGUUCUUGCAUUUCCAUACUAAAUUAUCUUGUCAACUUUAUGUGAACUUGGUUAUACAUGGGCCAUUUCAAAUAAUAGUCAUUAGUUUAAAAGUCAUUUGAAAGUUUUCAAUGUUCAGUCAAAGCGUUCCUUGACACUGUAAUUUUGAAUUGUGACCAUUUUUAAUCAAUGAUUAUAAGAAAAAUCAUGUACCCAUCCCACAUAUCAAUGAUAUACUAUUUUGUAUAUAUUUCAAAUGUAAUCUAAACGUAAAAAAGGAAAAACUUAACGAUCGUUAUUGCGUAAAAAAUUUUUUAAAAAGGGAAAUCCUUUGUUGUUACUGAGUGACUCCAAAGUAAAGGGACCUCCCUAAUUCCCUGAAAAACUAUCCUUUCCCUCCUCUCCUUUUUGAGAUCAAAGUUUACCCGUACGAAAAAAAACGGGGAAGGUUUUCCCUUGCUGACGUAUAUCAAACCAGGACCUAAUCCCAGUCGACAGGUUUUCAUUUAAAUUGGCUGACUUCAUUUGGAGAGAGAAAUCGCCAUCAUCAACAGGCACUCAGUGUUAGUGCUUCGGAGUAUGAACUUGAACCUCUAGAGCAGAUUAUAUCAUGGAUUUCAAUAACACGUUCGUCAUCAUCACUAGUUCGUCUGGACAAUUCAACGUCGUGCCAGCUCUUCCAACCAGAAGUCUCAACUAUUUUCUCAUCUGCCUGGCCUUUUUCAUCUUCUGCCCACUGUUUUACAUCUUGUGUCGCUUCGUCAAACUUCUGUGUUUUCCUGGAAGCGUUCCGGCGGAUGCAACGGCACUUUCGGCUGCGGAGUCCGAUGAAAACUCGGACAUUGGCGUUUACGUGAUUGACAUAGAUUUGAUCCAAGGUUACAUUAGGAAUUCAGAAACGAGCAGCGAUCGCCAAAAUCACUAUUGCUUCGCUUCGGCCACGCCUCGCGAAACUCGUCGACUUUCACCGAGCCAAAUUCCUAAAACCUGUCCGUCCUAUGGCGAACUGUACGACUUGGAUAGCCCGCCCCCAACUUACGAGGAGUGGGAAUCCAAGACUUUUUUAAACACGAUUCCGCCAGCGACGGAAUCAACUCCAGCCAGCAAAGCACCACCCAGUUUUUCUCGUUUGCAAUUCGAACAAUUGUACAGAAAUUUAAUUUAUUUUGCCUUUUACAUGUUUUAUAGGCUCAAACGUUUCGUUUAAAACAGGAAACAAUCAUCUACUGGUGUAUCUUCACGUCUUCGUGUGGUGCAACAGCGCGGGGAACUUUUGUUUCCCCCCUCAAGAAAUGGAUUUAUGUCAUCAGUUACAUCUUCCCGUAGACGACCGAACUUUGCGGGACCAUUGGACUCCCAUCCUCGGGUAUAUUUGCACGCAAGAGAACCUCGACCUGUUAGUCGUCUUCGUGAGUGAUUAUUUUUGGUGGUCUUCUUCGUUUUUUCAUACCUUUGAAUAUCCCAUGGAUCGUCAUCUCCUCCAGCGCGGUUUUUUUUUCCUUCGCCGUAACUUGCUUAGCUAAGGCUUGCUUGGUGAAGCAUCUUAAAACGGGGCAAUUAGAAAACCAGUUCGCUUCUGAGAUUAACGAGUCCCUUUCAAAUGAUGUCAUACCGAAACAAAAUCAAUCAACCUGUCCGUCUUACAACGAUUUAUUCGAGCUUGAUAAGGAACCACCAAAUUACGAAGAGUGCCAGGCCAAAAACGAAAGCAGUAACGCUGUCCCGGAGCAACCGCCACGUAAACAACGUGACCAGAGACAGAACGUCUAUUUUGCCAAAUUUUGGACAAUUCUGGGUAAUUCAAAUGAAGCUUCGUCACCCGCUUUCGAGAUAAAAGCCCCAGAAGAGUGCAACACCAACAACUUACCUCCAAUCUACGAAGAGUACCGGGCUAAUGAAAUUUCCAUCGCUAUUCCUGAUGAGAUGGCGAUGAGAGAGACGGACGCCGACACUGCUGCUGUCCGUUCAGAUGACACAUACUCGGUCUUAAUACUUCGUCUCGAUAUUUAAACCUCCACGUCCUACACCAAAUUAUAUUGAGCUUGAUAACCUACGCAGAGCUUCCAACUUGUAGAAAGAUACAAUAACUUUAAGGAGAAAUCCAAUGUUUUCCGUAUAAAAAGAAUUUGGAAGCAGAUCCCUCCAAAGAACUCCAAGACCAAAGAAAGAUGCAUUUCAACUUUGAAUAUCCGGAACGUCGAGGAUAAACGGCAUGGAUGGAAGAGACAUUUGAAGUUCGGAUUUGCCUUUCAUUUUCGGCGCGGAAUCGAAAACUUCCCCAUAGCCCGUGGAGUGAAUGCAAAAUAACUGUAAGAUGACAAAUGGGAGAGAAAUAAAAAGAUAAGGACACAUGCGCCUUCAAAGUUUUUGCGAAAGUGUCACGAAAACUGAAGUGGAUCGUUCGUGUAAUUUGCUGGAAACUGCAACCUGUACUAACCUGUAAUCGACGUUUCAUUUUAGAAGUUAGAGAUCCUUUACCCGCCUUCAAAUUGCCUUCAACACCCAAAUGGUAACUAUCUCAAGACUAUUUCCAUCUUUUAACUAAAUUAUCGUUGCUAUGCUAAAGAGUUAACCGAUUCUUUAGAAGUGUAUGCAGUUCUUUAAAAAUGCGAACAUUCGUUUUGACGUACGUGACAUUCUUCUCCGUUCGUUAUCUAGUCUCUUUUAUCCUUUGACAGCUGCAUGAAUUUUAAAAAAGCAACAGCAAAUAAGACGCACCGAUUGGUACGACCUUGGAUUGUAAGUUUCCACGUAAAAAAUUUCCCUGGGUUUUUCCGUCAAGUCUGACCGUUUCUAGUUCGAAGCUGUUCAUCGCGCUGUUCAACCUACUUUUUUUUACUGAUUGAAUGCUUAUAAUGAUCUUUUCGACUUUCAUAUCAAUGACUCUAUUUUCUUUUAAAAGAUGUUUACGAGUGUGCUGUGUAUGGGGGGGUAAUAAGUGGGUCAUCGAAUUGCGAAUUUAUUUGCCUCGAAAUUACACCGGAUGGUGUAACGAAAAGGGGAAUUUUUCCAUCCCGAAUCCUAGUGCCCACGUACCUGCCAGAGCAAGUUUCACGUCGCCGUCAAGCAUCUUCAUGAGCAGACCUGAAAGUGACGCUGAUAGCAACGGCGCUAAGUCGGCUAACAACAUGGACUCGAGUUCGCCAUUCAAAAUCUUUCACAUCACCAAGUUCAACGAUCAUUCGUCAAAUCAGUUAAAUGAAGGAAAAGAUGGAGAAUAUUCAAAGUUGAUGACGGGCACUGCUGUCACUUGCCUUGUUCUUCUAUUGGUCAUUUGUAUUUUCUUGCCCUACUGCUAUCAUAAAUGCGCAUGCAGAAAUGCUGGACGUGCGGAUGCCCCUUCGCCGUUACUUCCCAAAGCAGCACGCUCAUCCCUGUACUUCCUUACCGCCCCAGUCCUAGAAUUCCAUGAAAACGACAUGGAAGGAUUUUGGAAUUCAGAAUGUAACAUCGAAUUCGAACAAUCGCCGGUAGUCUUUAUCCCUGAGCCCGUUCAAGUUGCAAUUUCAGAAACCUGCCCGUCUUACCGCGAAGCAUUGGAGCUAAAUAAUCCUCCUCCGACGUACGAAGAAUGCAAGAAGAUUUUUUCUGCCGUUCCGGAAGUGAUUCGAAUCUCAACCGAAGUGACGGAAGCAAUUUCAAUGGACACGCCUACUCCUACGUAACAAAAUGGAACGUCUGCCGUGAUCGAGGACUAUUACGUCAUGCGUGUCAUACGGCCAACCAUAAAUCAAACUUGAAUUUGACGUAAUAAUUCCCCACUUUUGUUUUCACUCUUUCAUCCAGCUAUUGUUAUUAACAGUUCUCUUCACUCCUACCUAGCUUUAGCAUAACAUUCUGCUAAGAAUAAGGUAACUAGCAAAAUGUGCAGUGUUGCUGGGGAGGCCUUUCUGCUGUAUUAUAUGCAUUACAUUUUUUUUUUUGUGUUAUUUCCUAUUUCAUUCAUUCCGUUUGAAGUUAAACUAGGUCACUAGAAUUAAAACGACCGAUAAUUUAAAGAAAUUCUUUUAGGCGUUGUCGUGAUUACCGAAGCCUGUGGUUCGGUUUACAAAUUCACACAUCGUUUUUGUAUUUAUAAUUGAUGCUAUGUUGGGAUAUGCAAAUCUAACGUCUUAUCACACAGGAAAACAACAAAACACGAUGGAUACACGGAAAAGGAUACUGGGUAUAUGUUUUCAAGACUUAUCAGAAGGAAACCAAUGUUUGGCUAAAUUUAUUCAGGCCACAACAGGCCACAAUUAAAAGCCGAUAUUCUGAACUGCUCCUUGGCGGGAACCAAACGCUCAAUUGCAGUCUAGGAUUACCACACUCCGAUUACAUAGCUAACGCACGAAUUUUCCUUUUUUCAAUAGGCUAGUAGCAUUUAGAUGCUUUCCGAAUCAAAAGAAAAUUCUAAAAUGGAUUUCUUCCGUGGAUGUUUGACUCUAAUUGUCACGCCAUUUUUGAUCGCCACCUUAUUCGUUUAUUCAAUUCUACCAAAAAUGCGCAACAUCCACGGUGUGAACGUUAUGUGUUUUUUGGCUUCGAUGAUCUUCAUGAACAUCUCUUUUGCCUUACGCUUGCUCAUUAAAAUCAUGCCACCCGGUGUUUGUACUAUAAUAGCUAUUUCACAUCAUUUUGCCUACAUCGCCACUUUUUCUUGGCUCAACGUCUUGUGCUUUGGAGUUUGGCGGAUGUUUAGUUUCAUUAGACCACCGAAACACACAUCCGGUUUGGGUAAACGGUUUUUCUAUUCCUCCCUUUACGGAUGGGGUAUUCCGUUGGUCAUCGUGGUCGUCGGGCUAAUCGUCCAGCACAGCGAUGUGCCAGACUACAUCAUUAAACCGAGGCUUCCUUCAGGAAUGUAUUGCUGGUUUGAUCAUAAGUAUAGAGGGUCAGUAAUUGCGUAUUUGUACGGACCUUUAAUUGCUAUGAUCGGAGCCAACAAUAUCAUGAUUGUUUGGGCUGGGAUCAAGUUUUGCCAGAGAAGCGUGGAAUCGUCGCAAGUGACCAACGUUUCCCGUAAAAAACAAAGGUAUUACUUGUUUAUAACACAUCAAUUUUAUUCUCACUACCAAUCUAAUCGUAAAUGAGUCGCCCAAAUUGCAGGUUUAAAGUCAUCCUGAUCUUUGUGUUGAUGUGUCUACCGUGGUCAAUACUCAAUAGACAUGAUUUUUUUCAUGGCGGCUAUCAGUUUUAAUCGCCUGGUUGUGGGCAUAUUCAACGCAUUGCUACCAAUUUUCAUUUUCAUAAUCUUAAUCUGUAAGCCGAGCGUGUGGAAGAUGCUCAAACUCAAAUUCCCGCGUAUGAGUCCCUUCUUCUCGACCUGUGAAAAACUGGGGUCAAAGAUAGUCUGUAAGAAAAGCAAACAUCAACCACUCGUUGCUGUUGAAGAAAACUCAUCUAAUUCGAAUAACACGACCGGAAUUAAUAAAAUUGGCUAUCAACAUCCUGCCAAAGACGAAUCGACGGUCUAAAACAAUCUUCUGUGAAAUGUGAAACACAAUUCCGAUUGAAAUGGAAUAAGACAUCAUUAAUUGCGUAUAGCUUUUGAUUAGAUUACUACGCUAUAUUUUUCGUAAAAUUAAUAUUUUCGUACUCGUAGGUAGUUUCUUGAAAGGCGAGGAUAAAAAAUGUUUUUUUUUUUCUGAACAUUACGUGUUACCUGACCUAACCUAACAAAGGUGCUAUGAAGUUGUUUCACUCAACUGUAGAUGUCACUAUUGUCAUAUAAACAAAUCCAAGCAGACGAAAGUCAGCACUCGGCAGUGCCCUGCAAUGUGUUUGCAAAGUUUACACGUGGUUCAGGAAGUCAUCAAGUCAAGUACAGAAUAGUUUAUCAAAUUAAAACCAUAUAAAAAUAAGUAAUUUGUGGUUCUUUUGUGAUUGUGUGUACAACCUUUUUGUGGAUACAAAGAAUGUUGCAUUAUGAUUGAAUUCUUCACACUAAGCCGUGGUUGUUUGUUCAAUAGCUUGUGUCUUCUUACUGGUCAAUAAUUGUAUUUGGUAACCACAUGCAAAACAUAUUAUUGUAUUCCAUAGAGAGAAGUGAUCUAAACCUUUGUUUUCCACCUAUAUUACUGUAUUGUAAGAAGUUUUAUGUUCGGGAAUACUUGAUGUAAAGAGUUAUAAGUUAGUAACAAUUGUUUCAGCAGCAAGCAAAUAUUUCCCUGUUAAUAUUGAUGAGAAAAGAGAACACAAGUUUCAUGAACAGACUUGAAAGUGACAUUAAAAGUGACUAAGGCCGCUAACAUGGACUGCAGUUUCACUAUUAACAAUAAUAUCUUUUACAUUGUCACCAAUGAUCAUUCGCCAAACCAUGCAGCUAAACAAAGAUGGAGGAUAUUCAAAGUUAAUGGCAGGUACUGCUGUCACUUGCCUUGUUCUUCUAUUGGUCAUUUGUAUUUUCUUGCCCUACUGCUAUCAUAAAUGCGCAUGCACAAAAGCUGGAUGUGCGGAUGCCCCUUCGCCGUUACUUCCCAGAGCACCACAUCCAUCCCUGUACUUCCUUUCUGCCCCAGUCCUGGUAUUCCAACACAACGAUAUUGCAGGAUAUUGGAACUCAGAAUAUAACAUCGCAUUCGAACGUGCCCCGGUAGACUUCAUCCCUGAGCCCGUUCAAGUUGCAAUUGCAGAAACCUGCCCAUCCUAUCACGAUGCAUUGGAGCUAAAUAAUCCUCCUCCAACGUACGAAGAAUGCCAGCGCAAGGGAUUUUUGCUGCUGUUCCGGAAGUGAUUCGCCUAGCUCUCAACCGAAGCACCUUGCUUGACCAAAACAUUCUGCUAAGAAUAAGGCAUUGUCGUGAUUACGGAAGCCUGUGGGUGGGCGUAAAAUCUAACACAUCCUAAAAUGACGCUCUGUUGGGAUAUCCAAAUCAAACGUCUUAUCAACCGGAAAACAACGAAAUAGGACUACACGUGAAAGAGUAUACUGGUAUUUUUCAAGACUUCUCAGAAGGAAACCAUUGUUUUGCUAAUAAUAUAGAAAUGCCACUAUUCUGAACUACUCAUUGGCGGGCACCAACCGCUCACUUCCGGCCUAAGACACCACAUUCCCAUAGCUAUAUACGCCUUAAUAUAUUUUUUGUUAUUUCCAUAGUCUCAAAUAGUAGCGCUUAUAGAUGUUUACCGGGACAAAGUGGAAAGUCUAAGAUGGAGUUUCUCCUUGGAUGUUUUACUCUCUUUGCUUCGUUAUUUUUGAUCGCAACUUUGAUCGUUUAUUCUCUUCUAGAAAAAAUACGAAAUAUCCACGGUGUGAUUGUUAUGUGUUUUUUGGCCUCCCUUACCGUCAUGAACAUCUCCUGCUCCAUUCGUCGCUUGCUCAUUGGAAUCCCGUCGACCGGUCUUUGCCUUACGAUUGCAAUUUCACAGCAUUUUUCCUUUAUCGCCACUUAUUCUUGGCUCAACGUCGUGUGCUUUGGAGUUUGGCGGAUGUUUCGUACCGUCUCACUGCCUACUCAUAAACCCAUCUGGGGCAAACAGUUUUUCUAUUCUUCCGUUUACGGAUGGGGUAUUCCGUUGGUCAUCGUGGUCGUCGGGCAAAUCGUCCAAAACUGUGAUGUGCCAGACUACAUCAUCAAACCAGGACUGGCUUCAAAAAUGUAUUGCUGGUUUGAUCGUGAGGAUAGAGAACCAAAAAAUGUGUAUUUGUACGGACCUAUAGUUGCCAUGGUCGGAGCAAACUAUAUCAUGAUUAUUUGGGCUGGGAUCAAAUUUUGCCAGAGAAGCGUGGAAUCGUCACAAGUGACCAACGUUUCCCGUAAUAAACAAAGGUUUAAAGUGAUCCUGAAUCUCUUUUUGUUAAUGUGUAUGCCCUGGUCAGUAGGCGUAAUUGUUUGCGUGGCGGGUAACAAUAUCGACUACGAGAUUUUGAGAACAUCCAACAUACUGUGGCCAAUUUUCAUUUUCAUCAUCUUCGUCUGUAAGCCGAGCGUGUGGAAGAUGCUGAAAUUGAAAUUCCCGUGGAUUAGUCCCUUCCUCUCGACUUGUGAAAAAUUGGGGUCAAAGAUAAUCUGUAUGAAAAGCAAACAUCAACCACUCGUUACUGUUACAAGGAACCAAUUGAACUCGAUUAACAUGGCUGGCAUUAGUGGUAAGUUUACCCAAAUUGGCUAUCAACGCCAUACUGAAUCGACGGUCUGAAACAAACAUGCGUCUAACUACCUCCACCUGUGAUAUACACAAAAAAUUCCGUAAUAACGAUGAAUAUAUAAUACGAUUAUCUAUGAGAAUGUUGUUGUGAAAAGUGGAUAUUGAUUUGAAAACAACAAGUUUAAUGCAAUAAAUAAUGGAAAAGUUUUAUCCUUA